rnacentral:rRNA from 1 species
GAUGAACGCUGGCGGUAUGCUUAACACAUGCAAGUCGAACGGACUCUUCGGAGUUAGUGGCGGACGGGUGAGUAACGCGUGAGAAUCUGGCUUUGGGUUCGGGACAACCACUGGAAACGGUGGCUAAUACCGGAUGUGCCGAGAGGUAAAAGAGAAAUUGCCUGAAGAUGAGCUCGCGUCUGAUUAGCUAGUUGGUGAGGUAAAGGCUCACCAAGGCAGCGAUCAGUAGCUGGUCUGAGAGGAUGACCAGCCACACUGGGACUGAGACACGGCCCAGACUCCUACGGGAGGCAGCAGUGGGGAAUUUGCCGCAAUGGGCGAAAGCCUGACGGAGCAAUACCGCGUGAGGGAAGAAGGCUCUUGGGUUGUAAACCUCUUUUCUUAGGGAAGAACAAAAUGACGGUACCUAAGGAAUCAGCAUCGGCUAACUCCGUG